UUGUUCUUGCCCUUGGAAAGGCUUUGCUUUUUUACGAAUCCCAAGGAAGAAUUCUGUGUAUCUGAAGAUUGGAGUAAACUUUCAAAACUCA